rnacentral:rRNA from 1 species
ACCUACGGGGGGCAGCAGUAGGGAAUCUUCCACAAUGGGCGAAAGCCUGAUGGAGCAACGCCGCGUGGGUGAAGAAGGUCUUCGGAUCGUAAAACCCUGUUGUUAGAGAAGAAAGUGCGUGAGAGUAACUGUUCACGUUUCGACGGUAUCUAACCAGAAAGCCACGGCUAACUACGUGCCAGCAGCCGCGGUAAUACGUAGGUGGCAAGCGUUAUCCGGAUUUAUUGGGCGUAAAGGGAACGCAGUCGGUCUUUUAAGUCUGAUGUGAAAGCCUUCGGUUUAACCGGAGUAGUGCAUUGUAAACU